UUGCGCCCUCUAUAGAUGAAAGACAGUACCGCCAGUUCUGAGAGUCGCACGGGGGUGCGUACAAAGGGGCCAGGGCGCCGAGAUCACGGAAACAACGGUGCUGGGACCCUGUGCACAGAAGCCAGAUGCCAGACGGGAAUUAAACAUUCGGCCGAGAAAAGCAAUCUAGUUCCCUAGGCUCGACUUUGGCUCACUCCUUGGUCCGCACCAAUCCUCACAUCCCUCACGUCCUCUAACUUUUACGGCUGUAUCCCGAAAUCGCGUCUUUGGUCUCAACGGCUCCAGAAGGCUCGCUCUUCAAGAAAUGUUCCACUACCUUCAGAUAGAUGUGGAUACAUACAUGGUUUUGGCCUAAAGAAAUCUUUGCAAAAAGGGAGAAUACAUACUUGUUCUUUUCCUUGGAUUUACGGAGUGCCAGUAUCAGGUGUGGUUCCGGGUUCCAGAUAGGGCUGUGGUGAGGUCCCUAGUCGACAACCACAAGCCCAAUUGCCUCUUCUUCUGAAACGGAGUCUAUUGAGGAGGAGUCUCUGAAAAUGACAGCUGAUGGGUGUAGAGACCCACGCCCGGAAUCUCAGCAACUGAAGUGGCUGAAGCAGGAGCAUGUAGGCAGAGCUCGUAAGCAUCUCCGGCUUCUGAUUUUGUUGCUGGUUUUCUUUCUCAUAGUUUUGGUUUUCUUUCUCAGAGGCUUUCUGGUGCACCUAGGCUGUGCCAGCUCCUUACAGCCCUCCUUCAGCGCUCCAGCUUUUUGCCUAUGCAGUCUCUGCUCCUAGCCUUUCAUAACUAAUAAACUUUAAAAUUUAUAAAUUCCGACAAAUAAAA